AUUGAACGCUGGCGGCAUGCUUUACACAUGCAAGUCGAACGAGUGGCGAACGGGUGAGUAAUAUAUUGGAAAGUGCCGAGUAAUGGGGGAUAACCAAUGGAAAGGUUAGCUAAUACCGCAUACUAUUCGAGGGGCCCAUAUCGGAUUAGCUAGUUGGUGGGGUAACGGCCUACCAAGGCGACGAUCAGUAGCGGGUCUGAGAGGAUGAUCCGCCACACUGGGACUGAGACACGGCCCAGACUCCUACGGGAGGCAGCAGUGGGGAAUAUUGGACAAUGGGCGCAAGCCUGAUCCAGCCAUGCCGCGUGUAUGAAGAAGGCCUUCGGGUUGUAAAGGACUUUUGUUAGGGAAGCGUUACCCGAAGAAUAAGCACCGGCUAACUACGUGCCAGCAGCCGCGGUAAUUC
rnacentral:rRNA from 1 species